UCGUCAUUAAACCAUUUGCUAUAAACUCGUACAACUCGCUCUCUUUCUCUCUCUUCCUCUGCUCUUCGAUUCGGAGUUUGGUUGUUCUUCGGCCAUUCAUACGGUUAACUUGGAUUUAAAAAUACUAGGGUUCUAGAUCGUCCCUUCCGCGGAAGAUCUUUGUAUCCGCCUGAUUCAUUGUCUUAGACGCUGGGCUUAGACUGGCAGAUGGGAGUGAGACAGAAGAUAAGGAGCUCCAUUUCUUAUGGCUGCGUUUCUGUUUCUUGCUAAUUAUGAGAUGAUCAUACCUGAAUUACUUUUAAUAUUUUCAAGAAGUUUUGGCUCCUGGAGAUUAGAGGAAGCUAUCACAGCUGCUGAUAUUUGUUGAUAAGGGAAGGUUGAUCUUCAGCCAUGCCUUCUCUUCAACUUUUGCAAUUAACUGAGCAUGGUAGAAGUUUUUUGGCUUCGAGAAGGAAAACUCUACUUCUUGCCACUGGUAUCCUAGCUGCUGGAGGAACUGCUGCAUAUGUUCAAUCAAGGUUUAGCUGUAGAAAGCCCAAUUCUUUUAGUCAUUAUAAUGGGCUUAAUGAUGCUCAACAAAAAUCAGAGAAGGUGCCUAGGGAUGCCAAUAAUGUAAAGAAAACGAAACGAAAGAAAGGAGGAUUGAAGUCAAUUCAAGUCCUUGCUGGAGUCCUACUGUUUGAGAUGGGAAAAAUGGGUACGAGGGACCUCUUAGCUUUACUGGCCAUGGUGGUGUUGCGAACUGCUUUAGGAAACAGGCUGGCAAAAGUGCAGGGAUUUUUAUUCCGCGCUGCUUUUCUUCGACGUGUACCAUUAUUUUUCCGGUUGAUUUCUGAAAAUAUUAUAUUAUGUUUUCUUCUUUCAGCCAUGCAUUCGACCUCAAAUUACAUUACAGGGACCCUUAGUUUGCGGUUCAGAAAGAUAUUGACGAGACUUAUCCAUGCUCAUUAUUUUGAGAAUAUGGCUUAUUACAAAAUAUCACAUGUUGAUGGACGGAUAAAUAAUCCUGAACAACGAAUUGCAAGUGAUGUACCGAGGUUCUGUUCAGAGUUGAGUGAGCUUGUACAGGAUGAUCUAACCGCAGUGACUGAUGGUCUGCUCUAUACUUGGCGUCUAUGUUCUUAUGCCAGCCCCAAAUAUGUCUUCUGGAUUUUGGCCUACGUAGCAGGAGCAGGGGCCAUGAUUAGAAACUUUUCUCCUGCUUUUGGGAAACUUAUGUCUGAAGAACAACAAUUGGAAGGUGACUAUCGACAGCUUCAUUCACGAUUAAGGACACAUGCAGAAAGUAUAGCAUUUUAUGGCGGAGAAAGGAGAGAAGAAUCUCAUAUUCAGCAGAAGUUUAAAACCCUGAUUAGGCACAUGAGUGUUGUCCUUCAUGAUCAUUGGUGGUUUGGCAUGAUUCAGGAUUUCUUACUAAAGUAUCUUGGUGCUACAGUUGCCGUUAUCUUAAUCAUUGAGCCCUUCUUUUCUGGCCAUCUGCGACCUGACACUUCAACCAUUGGGCGUGCAGAGAUGUUGAGCAAUUUAAGAUACCAUACGAGUGUUAUAAUUUCACUAUUUCAGUCUCUUGGGACUCUUUCUAUUAGUUCAAGACGACUUAAUCGUCUCAGUGGUUAUGCUGACCGCAUUCAUGAGUUAAUCAUCACAUCAAGAGAGCUAAGUAUGGUUAAUGAUAAAUCUUCUCUACUGAGAGAUGGGAGCUCUAAUUACAUUAGUGAAGCUAAUUACAUUGAGUUUGCUGGUGUCAAGGUUGUUACCCCCUCUGGUAAUGUCUUGGUGGAUGAUUUGACUCUUAGGGUUGAAUCAGGAUCUAAUCUUUUGAUUACAGGUCCCAAUGGUAGUGGAAAGAGCUCACUUUUUCGAGUUUUAGGAGGCCUCUGGCCUCUAGUAUCUGGCCACAUUGUGAAACCUGGGGUUGGUUCUGAUCUUAAUAAGGAGAUUUUCUAUGUGCCACAACGACCAUACACUGCUGUAGGAACACUUAGGGAUCAGUUAAUUUAUCCUCAUACUGUAGAUCAAGAGGUUGAGCCUCUCACUCCUAGUGAAAUGGUGGAGCUAUUGAAAAAUGUUGACCUUGAGUACCUGUUAGAGCGUUACCCACCUGAAAAAGAGAUUAACUGGGGAGAUGAACUAUCUCUGGGCGAGCAACAAAGAUUGGGGAUGGCCAGACUGUUCUACCAUAAGCCUAAAUUUGCAAUUCUUGAUGAGUGCACGAGUGCAGUCACAACUGAUAUGGAGGAACGCUUUUGCGCGAAAGUCCGAGCAAUGGGAACAUCAUGCAUAACUAUAUCACAUCGACCAGCACUAGUUGCAUUUCAUGACGUGGUGUUGUCUUUGGAUGGUGAAGGAGGCUGGAGUGUUCAUUUUAAAAUAGAAGAUUCUCCUGUCCUUAGGGAAGCAGAUAUAACUAUGGUGAAGAGUCCUGACACAGAACGCCAGAGUGGUGCAAUGGCUGUACAACGAGCAUUUGCGACAGCUGGAAAGGUUAAAAUUUUAAAUUUCAGUUGUUGUCAUGGCUGUCUUCUUUUAUACCAUUAUUCUUUAUACAACCCUUCAAUUCUUUCUGUCCAGAAUUCUACUCGCUCAAGUUCCAAAGCACAAUCAUACAUAACUGAGGUGAUAGCAGUGUCUCCUCCUGUGAAUGAAACAGUUCCAUUGGCAGUGUUUCCACAAAUCCAAAUGACGCCAAGGUUAUUGUCAUUGAGAGUAGCUGCCAUGUUCAAAAUACUGGUACCAACAUUACUUGAUAGACAAGGAGCACAAUUCCUUGCGGUUGCUCUUCUCGUUGUAUCAAGAACAUGGAUCUCUGAUCGAAUUGCCUCACUGAAUGGAACCACCGUGAAGUUUGUUUUGGAGCAGGAUAAGGCAUCCUUUAUUCGGCUAAUUGGUGUUAGUGUUCUUCAAAGUGCUGCUUCUUCUUUCGUUGCACCUUCUUUAAGGCACUUGAAAGCCAGGCUAGCCCUUGGGUGGAGGAUCCGUUUGACUCAACAUUUACUGAAGAACUAUUUGAGAAAUAAUGCAUUUUAUAAGGUCUUUCAAAUGUCAAGCAAAAAUAUUGAUGCAGAUCAGAGAAUUACUCAUGAUCUGGAAAAGUUGACCACGGAUUUGUCGGGACUGGUUACUGGAAUGGUAAAGCCAUCUGUGGACAUUCUCUGGUUCACGUGGAGAAUGAAGCUGUUAACAGGUCAGAGGGGAGUUGCCAUAUUGUAUGCCUAUAUGUUACUGGGUCUGGGUUUUCUAAGAACUGUAGCUCCUGACUUCGGUGAUCUGGCAAGUAAAGAACAACAACUUGAAGGAACCUUUAGGUUCAUGCAUGAAAGACUGCGCACUCAUGCUGAAUCUGUUGCUUUCUUUGGGGGUGGUGCUCGAGAAAAAGCUAUGAUUGAGUCGAGAUUCAGGGAGCUUCUCAAUCACUCCAUGUCACUUUUGAAAAAGAAAUGGCUGUUUGGUAUACUUGAUGAUUUUACCACAAAGCAACUCCCACAUAAUGUGACUUGGGGGUUGAGCUUGUUAUAUGCCAUGGAACACAAGGGUGACCGAGCGUUGGUUUCUACUCAGGGUGAGCUGGCACAUGCAUUGCGGUUCUUAGCUUCUGUUGUAUCUCAAAGCUUUUUAGCUUUUGGUGACAUUCUUGAAUUGCAUAAAAAAUUCCUUGAGCUCUCUGGUGGCAUUAACCGAAUUUUUGAGCUUGAAGAGCUUCUACAUGCUGCACAGUCUGCGGACUCUAUGUCUGAUAUCAAGUCACCAUCAGACAGGAGAGAUCAUUACUCUGAAGACAGCAUUUCCUUCUUUGAAGUGGAUACCAUUACCCCAGCACAGAAAAUGUUGGCUAGGCAGUUGACAUGUGACAUAGUACCAGGGAAAAGCUUGCUUGUUACUGGUCCAAAUGGGAGUGGGAAAAGUUCAGUCUUCAGAGUCCUUAGAGGUCUAUGGCCUGUUGUAAGCGGAAGACUCACUAAACCAUCCCAAGGUAUCGAUGAAGUGGCUGGAUCUGGCUGUGGUGUUUUCUAUGUUCCUCAGCGACCUUACACAUGCUUAGGAACCCUGAGGGAUCAAAUUAUAUAUCCUCUCUCCUAUGAGGAGGCGGAAUUGAGGGCAUUAAAGUUGUAUGGAAAAGGUCAAAACACUCCUGACACCAAGAUUGUACUGGAUUCAUGCUUGAAAACUAUUUUGGAGAAUGUUCGAUUAAAUUAUCUUUUGGAUAGAGAUGAAGGUGGUUGGGAUGCUAGUCUAAAUUGGGAAGAUACUCUUUCUCUUGGAGAACAGCAGAGAUUGGGCAUGGCACGCUUAUUCUUUCACAAGCCUAAAUUUGGCAUCCUUGAUGAGUGCACCAACGCAACCAGUGUUGAUGUCGAAGAACACCUUUAUAGGCUUGCAACAAAUUCGGGCAUCACAGUUGUUACCUCCUCACAACGUCCGGCCCUAAUACCAUUCCAUUCCAUGGAAUUACGGCUAAUUGAUGGUGAGGGCAAAUGGGAACUUCGUUUGAUCAAGCGAUGAAUUCCACUCUACUAGCAUCUGCAGUUGUGACUUCCUUUUUUUUUUUGCUGUUCAAUUCUUACACAAUGCGGUGGGAACAAGACAACGUUGGCUUUGCCAAUCAAAGAUUUCUUUUUAUAGCUACUCAUGUCAUGCUACUGGCCAAGAUGGUGUUAGGAUUACGAAUGUGAAAUGUUAGGCUUGAAAGAGAACUAUAAUGACAUGUUAAGAUCUGAUCCUUUACCAUAAACAAGAACUUUAUGAUCUAACCUAAAAUUGAAUUUUGUAAUUUUCUUUGCAUGCUAACAUUUCUCGUUACAAAUUAUUUUCUAGUAGCCAACCAUUUACAUCUUUUUGUAACAAGAUGAAAAAGAUAUUUAUCCACGCAAAGAUUAGGAUUUGACUUA